rnacentral:rRNA from 1 species
CGACGCCGCGUGCGGGAUGAAGGCCUUCGGGUUGUAAACCGCUUUCAGUAGGGAAGAAGCGCAAGUGACGGUACCUACAAAAGAAGCACCGGCUAACUAUGUGCCAGCAGCCGCGGUAAUACAUAGGGUGCAAGCGUUGUCCGGAAUUAUUGGGCGUAAAGAGCUCGUAGGUUGUUCGUUACGUCGGAUGUGAAAAUCUGAGGCUUAACCUCAGACCUGCAUUCGAUACGGGCGAACUAGAGUGUGGUAGGGGAGACUGGAAUUCCUGGUGUAGCGGUGGAAUGCGCAGAUAUCAGGAGGAACACCAAUGGCGAAGGCAGGUCUCUGGGCCAUUACUGACACUGAGGAGCGAAAGUCUGGGGAGCGAACAGGAUUAGAUACCCUGGUAGUCCAGACCGUAAACGGUGGGCGCUAGUUGUGGGAACCUUCCACGGUUUCUGCGACGCAGCUAACGCAUUAAGCGCCCCGCCUGGGGAGUACGAUCGCAAGAUUAAAACUCAAAGGAAUUGACGGGGCCCCGUACAAGCAGCGGAGCAUGCGGCUUAAUUCGACGCAACGCGAAGAACUUACAAGGCUUGAAUAUAGAGAAAGCAUAGAGAUAUGUGUCGCAGGCUUUACGUGGGCUGGUGUCGUCAGUCUGUCGGGAGCGGUAAUCCGCAGAGGCACCUCGUUGGUUGCAGCUUAUUGGGCUCCGAAUGCGGUAUCGAGAGUGGUAGUAUCAGCCUUUUUGGG